rnacentral:rRNA from 1 species
UACGAAGGGUGCAAGCGUUACUCGGAAUUACUGGGCGUAAAGGGUGCGUAGGUGGUUGUUUAAGUCUGCUGUGAAAGCCCCGGGCUCAACCUGGGAAUGGCAGUGGAUACUGGACAGCUAGAGUGCGGUAGAGGGUAGUGGAAUUCCCGGUGUAGCAGUGAAAUGCGUAGAGAUCGGGAGGAACACCAGUGGCGAAGGCGGCUACCUGGACCAGCACUGACACUGAAGCACGAAAGCGUGGGGAGCAAACAGG